UGUGAGUCCCGUUUGGUAUGACACACGUUGACGCUAAAUUGAAAGCGUUUCAUUGUGCUCUUGUAGACCUCAAAAGUACAAAAGUAAGCAACGAUCUAAUCCUGACAAGCUCUUUGAGAGCUCCGAAGUAAAGAAACCUGCUCUUGUUGUCGACAUCGAGCGGUAGCGAUACCGAGUGAAUCGAACGAAGUAUUUGCUUAUGGUUGUUGCAGAGCGAAGAUGAUCGGUUUUUAUCGCUGCGAUAUUGAUGAUCAGCAGAUUUAUAACACCAAAGGAACAACAACGAUAUGACGCCAGUGCACAAUAGCUUUUGGUAGAAGUAAUGCUCAGCCUCUACGUUACAUCUCAGAAGCGUUAUAUGUCUUAACAUAUUCCCAAGCAACAUUUUUAUUGUAGUUUUAGCACAGGCAUUGUUUGUGUACAUUAUUGAAAUAUUUUAUUUCAUAUUUUAUGUAUGAGAUAUAUGAGAUUACAUUACAUGCAAGGGCGCUGGAAUAGCUCAAUAAAUACAUUUGUAUAUUGAUUAUGACUUCAAUCUCCUAGUUUUACCAAUAGAUGGGCAAAUAAAUAAAUAAACAUACAGUGCAGCGCCGUUUAUUCGGGUACCUUCCCAAAUAGCCAGAAUUGCUUAAGCAGCUCAUUUUGGCACG